rnacentral:rRNA from 1 species
UACAGAGGGUGCGAGCGUUAAUCGGAGUUACUGGGCGUAAAGCGUGCGUAGACGGUUAUGUAAGUCGGGUGUGAAAGCCCCGGGCUCAACCUGGGAAUUGCAUUCGAGACUGCAUAGCUAGGAUGCGGAAGAGGGAAGCGGAAUUUCCGGUGUAGCGGUGAAAUGCGUAGAUAUCGGAAGGAACAUCAGUGGCGAAAGCGGCUUCCUGGUCCAGCAUCGACGUUCAGGCACGAAAGCGUGGGGAGCAAACAGG